AAGUACUGAAGUAUAAUUUUCCAUCUUUCUUUGUAUUUUCUGUGUAGUAACAUUUAACCACUGCUUUGUUUAAACAAUUUGGACUUGUGCAUCUGAAUAAUUGCUGCACUACUUACUCCCAGAUUCUGGGAACUCUGACCUCAGCGUUGUCUCUUGCUUUCUUUGAUUCUUUUCUUUCCUUUUCUUUCUGAAUUUAUACAAACAAAAUUAAGAACCAAGACCCUGAAUCACCAAGUGGAGGCUCCUGCAAUUAGAAGCAACCAGAGUAAGACCUGAAGGAUCUGCCAGUCUGUGCCCUAGGAGCCACCACACACCUGCUGCUCUCUGAGACAGGGACUGCAGUACCCAACAGGGCUGAAAAUCAUGCAGCUGCUCUCUAAAACAAAUAGGAAAAACCAUCAGAAAUGUGAGAUUUCCUAUAAACAUGAAGAUAAAAUCACACCUCUGUGACCUUGACAACGUUAGGGAAAAUAACCUUGAACAAGUGCAAGUGGUUCCUUGAGCCACAGCAAGACGAGGAAAGAGACUUCUGCUAAAGAGGUAACAUCUGUUUGACCCCAAGACAUGGGCAGAAGUAUGGAACAAACAUGACAUUGUCAGCUAAAGAGUUAUGUUCAUGAGCCCAUUAGUUAUUUUGGGAUGUCAGAUGUUAUGAACUUCACUCUAGUUUUACUAUUGUCCUGUGCAGCCUUCGGAACAAGCACUGUCAACCUGUCAUUUGUCCCAUCUAUGCUUAAGUAUAAUACUGUUAUACUGUGUCUUGUAUGAGCAUUUUUUAAACUAUUU